GCCCGGGUGGUGGAAUUGGUAGACACAGGAGACUUAAAAUCUCCCGCUCUUACGAGUGUGCCGGUUCAAGUCCGGCCCCGGGCACCA
rnacentral:tRNA from 2 species